GAUGAACGCUGGCGGCGUGCCUAAUACAUGCAAGUCGAACGGAGAUUGUAGCAAUACGGUCUCAGUGGCGAACGGGUGAGUAACGCGUUGGUGACCUGCCCCAAAGAGCGGGAUAACAGUUCGAAAGGACUGCUAAUACCGCAUGUGAUCUCCGGGACUAGAAGCCUGGAGAUGGAAGGGAGAAAUCCGCUUUGGGAGGGACCUGCGUCCCAUCAGCUAGUUGGUAGGGUAACGGCCUACCAAGGCGAUGACGGUAGGGGACCUGAGAGGGUGGCCCCCACACUGGCACUGAAACACGGGCCAGGACACCUACGGGUGCAGCAGUAGGGAAUAUUGCACAAUGGGCAAAGCCUGAUGCGGCAACGCCGCGUGCGCGAUGAAGGCCUUCGGGUCGUAAAGCGCUUUUCGGGGA
rnacentral:rRNA from 1 species